rnacentral:rRNA from 1 species
UGGCUCAGAUUGAACGCUGGCGGCAGGCCUAACACAUGCAAGUCGAACGGUAACAGAGAGCAGCUUGCUGCUGACCUGA